rnacentral:pre_miRNA from 1 species
ACUGGGGUAGUGGGGGAUCUCUCAGCCUGGAUUGCCAGAGGGUGCAGGCCAGGCCAAGGGACCCCACCAGUGCAUG